CACGUAGGGACCAAGCGUUGUCCGGAUUUAUUGGGCGUAAAGAGCUCGUAGGCGGUUCGGUAAGUCGGGUGUGAAAACUCUGGGCUCAACUCGGAGAGGCCACCCGAUACUGCCGUGACUUGAGUACGGUAGGGGAGCACGGAAUUCCUGGUGUAGCGGUGAAAUGCGCAGAUAUCAGGAGGAACACCGGUGGCGAAGGCGGCACGCUGGACCUUUUCUGACGCUGAGGCGCGAAAGCCAGGGGAGCAAACGGG
rnacentral:rRNA from 1 species